rnacentral:rRNA from 1 species
UGGGGAAUAUUGGACAAUGGGCGAAAGCCUGAUCCAGCCAUGCCGCGUGUGUGAAGAAGGUCUUCGGAUUGUAAAGCACUUUAAGUUGGGAGGAAGGGCAGUAAGCGAAUACCUUGCUGUUUUGACGUUACCGACAGAAUAAGCACCGUCUAACUCUGUGCCAGCAGCCGCGGUAAUACAGAGGGUGCAAGCGUUAAUCGGAAUUACUGGGCGUAAAGCGCGCGUAGGUGGUUCGGUAAGUUGAAUGUGAAAGCCCCGGGCUCAACCUGGGAACUGCAUCCAAAACUGGCGAGCUAGAGGAGGGCAGAGGGUGGUGGAAUUUCCUGUGUAGCGGUGAAAUGCGUAGAUAUAGGAAGGAACACCAGUGGCGAAGGCGACCACCUGGGCUCAUACUGACACUGAGGUGCGAAAGCGUGGGGAGCAAACAGG